GAUGAACGCUAGCGGCAGGCCUAACACAUGCAAGUCGAGGGGUAGAGGAAGCUUGCUUCCUUGAGACCGGCGCACGGGUGCGUAACGCGUAUGCAAUCUACCUUUUACAGAGGGAUAGCCCAGAGAAAUUUGGAUUAAUACCUCAUAGUAUAUAUCAUUCGCAUGUUUGGUAUAUUAAAGUUCCAACGGUAAAAGAUGAGCAUGCGUCCCAUUAGUUAGUUGGUAAGGUAACGGCUUACCAAGACGAUGAUGGGUAGGGGUCCUGAGAGGGAGAUCCCCCACACUGGUACUGGGACACGGACCAGACUCCUACGGGAGGGAGCAGUGAGGAAUAUUGGUCAAUGGACGCAAGUCUGAACCAGCCAUGCCGCGUGCAGGAAGACGGUCCUAUGGAUUGUAAACUGCUUUUGUACGGGAAGAAACACUCCUACGUGUAGGGGCCUGACGGUACCGUAAGAAUAAGGAUCGGCUAACUCCGUGCCAGCAGCCGCGGUAACAC
rnacentral:rRNA from 1 species